rnacentral:rRNA from 1 species
AACCAAGAAAUUUAGUCAUUCUUUUUCGGUAAAAAGACAGUUAGGCAAAGAAAAGGCCAUUGGACCUUUAGUACAGGGGUAAAAUCUAAAUACUAAAAGUUAUGCCAGAUAUGGCCAUUUUUAGUGCUGAAUCUGUGACGACUUUAAGGGAAACUGGGAUUGGAUACCCCAUUAUUUUUAGUAGUAAAUUAACUUAAGUUUACCAGAGUACUACGAAUAAAAAAUUUAAAACUCAAAGAGCUUGGCGGUGUUUUAGACCUCUCAGGGGAACCUGUCUCAUAAUCGACAAUCCACGAUAUACCUGACCCUUCGUAGCAAUUCAGCUUGUAUACCGUCGUCGUCAGGUAACUUCUUAAAAUAUAGUAGUUAGCUUGAAAAUUUUAUUGAUUAAUACGUCAGAUCAAGGUGCAGCUAAUAAAAGGGAGAGGAUGGGUUACAAUUACAUAUUUGUAAUUACGGAUGAUAUUUUAAAAGAAAUAUUCUAAAGGAGGACUUGAAAGUAAUCUUAGUUAUAUAAAUAAGAUGAAUAAGGCUCUGAAACGUG